rnacentral:rRNA from 1 species
UACGUAGGGUGCGAGCGUUGUCCGGAAUUAUUGGGCGUAAAGGGCUCGUAGGCGGUUUGUCACGUCGGGAGUGAAAACUCGGGGCUUAACCCCGAGCCUGCUUCCGAUACGGGCAGACUAGAGGUAUGCAGGGGAGAACGGAAUUCCUGGUGUAGCGGUGAAAUGCGCAGAUAUCGUCAAGAACACCGAUAGUGAAGACAGCUUACUAGACUUCAACUGACGCUGAGGCACGAAAGUGUGGGGAUCAAACAGG